GGGAAAGGGAACAAGGGAUUCCCUUAGUAACUGCGAGUGAAGCGGGAAAAGCUCAAAUUUAAAAUCUGGCGGCUCCGCCGUCCGAGUUGUAAUUUAGAGAAGUGCUAUCCGCGCUGGACCGUGUACAAGUCUCCUGGAAUGGAGCGUCAUAGAGGGUGAGAAUCCCGUCUUUGACACGGACUCCCAGGGCAUUGCGAUGCGCUCUCAAAGAGUCGAGUUGUUUGGGAUUGCAGCUCAAAAUGGGUGGUAAAUUCCAUCUAAAGCUAAAUAUUGGGGAGAGACCGAUAGCGAACAAGUACCGUGAGGGAAAGAUGAAAAGAACUUUGGAAAGAGAGUUAAACAGUACGUGAAAUUGCUGAAAGGGAAACGCUUGAAGUCAGUCGCGUUGUUCGGGAUUCAACUUUAGCUUCUGCUGGGUGGAUUUCCUGUUCGACGGGUCAGCAUCAGUUUUGGCCGGUGGAUAAAGGUCCAGAGAAUGUGGCAUCUUCGGAUGUGUUAUAGCUCUGGGUCGCAUACAUCGGCUGGGACUGAGGAACUCAGCACGCCGCAAGGCCAGGUUUCGACCAUGUUCGUGCUUAGGAUGCUGGCAUAAUGGCUUUAAUCGACCCGUCUUGAAACGGGGAACCAAGGA
rnacentral:rRNA from 1 species